AUGGGGAUGGGCUGGGGUGGGGGGAAAAUUAUCAUAAACUGCCUGAGAAAUAGCUUUAGGAUUUUUGUAGGCAUUCAUUCUAGCGCAGCAGGCGACGCACGCAGUACAUACGGCUCUCCUUGGCCGGGCCGCGGGCUCGGGAACAGCCAAGGGUGUGGGAACGGGGCACGGGAAUGGAAUAUCUGUGUGCUUGCCAAAAACAGCAGCCUCUGGCGAUGCUCCCCCGCGGGCGGGCGGGCCGGGCAGUCGGUGCCCACUGGCUGGCGAGACCCCUCCCCGGGAAGUGGGACCGUAUCCCUUGGGAAGAGCGCCUGCAGCAGGACGGGCUCUGGGGGGAGACAGGGCACAGAGCACCCUGAAAUGCACCUUCACGCCGUGCCCGGGCUCUCCUGGGUCCAUGCGCAGGAAGGGGCAGUUCGGACACGAUCCAGCUCUCCGAAAGCUUGAAGGGCUUUGGCAGACACCAGUUUUCCUCAAAAAGGGUUUUCCUACACCAGUUUUCCUAAACCAGCUGGAAAGGGAGGCUGAGGGGGUAUGAAACAGGUAUGAAACAGGAUGCAGCUGCGUCCACAGCCUGCUUGGGCCUCCUGGAUACUGGAAAGCUUAAUCCAGGGAGUAAGAGGCAGAUUUUUAAGGCUUAAUCCCGUUUGCAGUUUGCAUGACAAAUGGAUGCAGAAAGCAUCCUUUCAUCCUUCCUAGCAGAGCAGGGAACUCUGCCAUCUCUGACCAGGGUCACUGGAACACUGGAGUUCCUCUUUCCCAGGAAAGCCUUGCCUCUGCCCGGGUGCAGUGGGUGUGCAGAGGGAGGAUGUGUUAGUGCUGCUUUUCAAAGAAAAUGGUGGGUUUUAUCAAACGACAUCCGUGAAAGCAUUUUAAAAAUGCAUUCCCAUUCCACAUGGGCCAAAGCUUUAAAUCAGGAAAAUGGGAAGAAAUUAUUUUUUUAUUGAAGGAUGCAACUGAAAUAAUGAUCCUUUGGGAUUCUGCCUGAAGGUUUCUAGGCCUCAAAAGGUAAGGGUGAGCUGUGUGGAAAAUCUGCUCAAGUCUUGAUGCAGUGAUUUAGUGGAAGGAAAAAGGAAAAAGAAGGAAUUUCCUUGUCUUGCCAGUUGCUCUGGCAGUUUCCUGGGGAAAGGUGUCAGCACUCUGAUCCCAAAAUGCAGCAGCCAACUCAGGGCUGGAGGAUUUGGAGCAGAAGGGUCUGUUCCCGACCUGUGUAGGUGUUAGGGAGAGCUUCCUCCCUGCAGGCGCUCUCCUCUGGGAUGCUGGUUCCCCAUCCCCCUGCCAGCCUGCCUUGUCACCCUGUGCAGGGACACCCCAGCCCCGCUCACCCCUGGGCUCACGGUCACAAACUGGCACAAAACCUGCCUGGAUGCCACCUUUGCCAACUCCUUCAGCAGCUGGAGCCUGGCCAGGCUGGGGGGGCUUCAGAGGAGCUGGGAGCUGCUUUGGGGUCAGCUUCCCCCGAGUGGGAGCAGAGGGAGAGGAGUAGAGUCACAGGGGGAUUUAUCCUCCUCCUGCAUUCCUCUGCCAGGUGUCAGCACCAGCUGAGCCUUGGAAUGAGGUGGAUGGCAUAAAAAUGUCCCAGAAUGAGGGCAAAGCAGAAGAAAAUGUAUGUUUUUUUAUAAACGUUUCCCAACUAAGCAUUUAUCCCAAAGUUUCUAAUUUGGAAAAACAAGACAAAAAAAAAUUGAUGAUUAUUGUGAAAUGAACAGGGGUGACCUAAAGGGAGGGGUUGGGGGAGGAGAGGAAAUCCUCCAAAAAUCCUUGCAGGGGGGUCACCCACACAUCCCUCCUGAGCUGAUACCUGCCCUGACCUUCUCCUCUCCCAAGGAUUCAUUGAUUUGGGUGUGGAGACCUGGGGAAGGGUCCAGGAUGGCAGUGCCAGGGUUCCAGAUACCGGCAUCCCUGCAGAAGAAGGCACGGAGCGAUGUGUGGGAUAAAAUUACCCCAUCAAAAUCUUGUCAUAUCAAAUUCCUGCCACAAAGGCUUUUCCAAAUAAUGGUUUGAUUCCUUUCCAAUGAUAAAUUUGGAGUUCCCUCUCCCGUUCCUGCGCUCUGGAGGGCCUUGGGCAGACAAGGGUGAAGCCCCGUGGUGCCAGGGAGGGCUCCUGGCAGGCUUUGUGCAGUUAAACCCCCCGUCUCCCCUCCCCAAGACGAACCCAGUGGGUACCACUGUGUGCCAGGGACAUGCUCGGCUCUCACCUCCGGAAUGCCGGCGCGGCAUCGGCGGCAGAAGCGGAUCUCCCUCCCUCCAUCUCCGUUUGUCCGUUGAGAAGUGGGAGAGACACUGCGGACCAUGGUCCUCCUCGCCCACGCUGUGCCCCCCGACCCGGCGAUGCCCGAUGUACCGGACGCGCACCUGAGCUCUUUGCACGGCCUUUGCUUUGGAAAUUAGGCGGGAUAACGACAUCUCAUCGCUCUUGUUUUGUAUUUCAAUUUUUUUUUCCUUCACAAAAAAGAAACUAAACCCAACUCACCGAGGUCUGCCCCGCUGGGAGCGACACAGCAGGAGGGCCCAGCAGAGCAGUUUUCUCCAGAGACCCCAGCGGGGAGGCGGCGGCGAGACCCCCCUGGCACUUGACGCCACCGGUGCAGAGCGAACCCUGAGCGGGGAAAAAAAACCAAAAAAACAUUUUUGCUCAUGGACUUCACGCCCUGACUCCCAAGUUCACACUUCUGCCUGGAAACUGAGAGCCUGGAAAACCACGAAAUCCAAGACCCAAACGCUCUGGGUUCCGUAGAUGCAGGUUUAGAUGUGCCUGGCGGGGAAGGCGCCGGCGGUUCAGCGCCGGGCUGUGCCGUGCCGGACGGAUCCGCAGCAGCGCGGCAGCAGAACUCCACGGUCCCCUGGGCUGGAGCCACGGGCAAGUAUGGCUCGUGGGAAGGCGGGGCUGCCCCGGUCAGGCACGGCUUCACGUUGUGGUGAAAGGGGCUUGGGGGCUGUUUGUCGGGGUCUUCAUUUUGUUGGGGGCUUAGGGUUAUUUUAUUAUUCUAUUUUUUUUUUUGUCCGGGUCAUUAUCCUUUAUUUCCCCCCAGACUGUAGUAUCCAGUAAACUCCUCCUAAUUUUCAAAAGACAACGAGAAGAAUGACAAUCUAAGAAACCAACACCCUCCUUUGUGCUUCUAUAAAUAUGUUUCUGAUCUAAUUUUAUUUCUUGUGCUCAUCUGUACUGUUGACAGUUACAAUUGUGUAUAAUUUUUUUUUUAAUUUGGAAUUUUUGCGUUGUAUAGGGUUUAGUUUUAAAAUAUAUAUAUAUAUUUUCCAUUUUUUAAAAAGGGGUGUUGCAAAAAAAAAUUGCACGAUUUAAAUGACAAUAGUUAAAAUGCUGCAGUUUUUAGAGAUGUGGAAGCAAAAUGGAGCUUAUUUAUUCUCAAAGGCUAUAAAGGUGUAAAAUGCAUGAAGAAAAAAAACAUUUACAAAAAAAAAAAAAGACAAAAAAAGUGUAACCUGAACAAAGUGUAGCGUUAAAGAUUUUAAAGGAUGACGACAACAAGAAAAAAAGAAAAAAAACAACAAAAAAACAGCUAAUAUAUUGUGUUUGGGCUAGUUUGCUUUUGUUUUUAAUUGUUCCUUUUUUGGAGAAUGAAAUACAAUUGUGUAUAUUUUCAUAUAAGAAGUAUGCACUGAGAUGUUUCCAAACUGAUAUAUUCCUUUCUAAACGUGUGGUUACUUACCAAAGUCUGUUUCUGAUCUUUACCUUCUGAACUCUCUGUGGAUGCUCCAGCCCACGCCCGCCGGGGCCCGACGCCGCGGCCGCAGGUAAGCCAAGGUGGGGGCACCGGCGUCGCCCCCUCCUCUCCCUGCCCCAGGGCGGCUGAUUUGGGGUGCUGGUGGAUGUGACCGCGGUGCUGGUGUUGUGGGAGGGGCUGUGACCCCCGGCCCGGGAAGGCUGGUCUUUCCCAGGGCUUGGCUGGCUGGUUUUGGGGUGUUUGUGCCGGCAGCGGGGGACAGGGCUGGCCAGGACCGCAGUGUCCCUUGCGGGACGAUGCCAGGGGAGCAGUGUUGCAGGGGGCAGAUGCAGAGGAAGGGAUGAGUCCCACGUGCCAGGAGCACGGAGCGUGCGAGGGCUCUGCCGCCAGCGUGUGCCGGAGUGGCCGGGGUUUGGUGCAGAGAGGAGGAGGAGGAUGGAAGGAGGUUGCGGGGUCUGGCUCAGGUGAUGCUGCUACUGGUAGCCAUAGGAGCAGGAUGGGGUGGGAAGCUGCUUGCCCACCCCGGGAGGAGAUUUAGGGAUGGAGCAGGCCCUAAGUGAUAUCUCGAACCUGAAAUCCCGGGAAGGGCUGCUGGCAUGUGGUGAGGAUGGUGAUGGAUCGAGGGGGAUGGUCUCGCCUGCUCUGGGCGGCUGUGGGGCUGAUCAGCUGGUGCCAGGGUGGGGUGUGGGGGACAGGGUGACCCCCUGCUGAUUGGGGUGGUUUUGGGUGGUGGCGAAGAGCUCGGCUGUGUUGGACGUUUGGAUGAGGGCGUCGGUGCUGGAGGGAUCCGGCAGUGGGUUGUGGUUGUGCGAGGGGCACCACCAGGGGUGGUGGCAAGGAGACCCUUGGGGAAGGGUUUUGCUGCUGUUGUGUGUUUGGGGCUGCUGCCAGUGUUGGGAUUGGAGGGUGAUGGAAGUGUUAAAUCCAGAGCUGUUGGCAAUGGGGCCAUGUGUGGGCCUGGGGGAAAGUGGGGCAAGGAGAAAGAGUUUCCUUUUCUUCCCCCCUUUUUCACUUCCAUCUUCCCUCCCAAAAUAAUCUUGGCAAACCAGGGAAAAAAGCAAAUUUACAAAAACCCCCACCUUUUCCUUGAAAAUUUCACCUCCUGCACUUUUUUCUUCCCUUAUGUUGCUCAUUUGGGAGAUUCCCCCUAACGCUUUGGAUGGGAAUUGUGAAGUUUGUCACCAGCUCUGGGGAAAAGGCUGCUAACUGCUUCUGCCAGCCUAGAGCUCUGCCAGGGGUGAGGGGCCCUCAGCGUUUCAGGGGUCCCCUCCGCACGGGUCCCUCUGUGUUGCUGGGGUGAGCAUCCAUUGGAUGAGGAAGGAUAUUCCCAACCAUGCCUUGGUCGUGCCAUCCCUGGUGCCACAUCCUGCCUUGCCCUCCCAUCCUUCUGGCUGAGGGCACAAUUUGGGAAUAUUUUGAGGAUUUUUACCACUUAAAGUGGCAAAAAUUCAUCUCUAUCCACCUCUCCCAGGGCUGUGGGCAAGUCCAUAACUAUGGGCUUCAGCUGAACGUUUGCUCGUUUCCCUUUCCCAUGUUUAUCCUUUGCCUUCCCCUCUCACUUCACUUUUCUUUCUUCUCUUUUUUCUUUCUUUUCUCUUUUUUCUCCUUUUCUAUCUUUUUUUGUUUCGUUUUGGUUUGGUUUUUUGUUUCUUUUUCUCUUCCACAAAAAAUCCCAACCAGACCCGUAAACCAAGUAUUAUGUUUUCACUACCUCCAUCCAUCACCCUUCCCUUUCCGAUGCCAGAAGCCAUGCUCGGGAUGUAAGAGGGCCUUUCCCCCUUUAUUUUCCCCUUUCCUCCAGAGAUUUUAUCUCCUCUGUGUCCCUCUGCCCCUCCUCUCUCUGGUCUCUCACCUGUAGUGUUUUACCUGGCUACUGUAACUGUAAAUAGCGAGUUUCAAUCUGUUAGCGAUGGUAACAGUACAGAAAACUGGUUUUGGGGGGUUUUUUUGUUGUAUUGAUAUGAAAUGAGAUUAUAUUUUUGUCAGAGUAUAUUGUAAUAAUACUGACUUUGGACAUGGCCGAGUUGUACAGCGAUUUCUUGUUUAACCCUCUUGGCUCUUCCCUUGCUCUUCCCCUCCCUGUCCCUCCCUGCUCCCCAGGUUUCCGUGUCCCAGACCCAGACCUGGCCGGGCUCCCAGCUGGGAGCAGCCACUUGGCAAUGGCUUCACACCAGGGAUGCUUUUCCACAGGGUUCCCAACACGCUGGCGUGUCCCCCCGUGGGUCUGGAGAGGUGAGAAACAUGCAGGAGGAUAUUUAAGUGAGCCUUGGAUAUAAGGAGGUUCCUGGUGUGCAGGGAUGCUCCCACUCUCUGCUACACUCCCGGCAGGAAUCAGGGACCUCGGAGGAAUGGAUGAGGUCAUUCCAGCUCCCCUCUCCUCCCUAGCGAGUGGAAAACCACGUUGUUUUCCAGUUUCUUCCUCCCGAGCUCCGUUCUCUGGAGCGAUGCCUGUUUGGAAUGUGCUUUCCUUAAGCCAGAAGAGGGUGGUGUGGCUCAGACUGCGCCGGGAUCGUCUCCGAGCAGUCUGAAGUAGUUUUCCGGGAACUGGAAGUUUUACAACAUCCCCAGCCCAUUGCUGCGAGGAGAGGCGUUGGUGAGCCGGGGUGAGCUGUUCCCCCCCUGCAUCCCACCCACAAAGGAGGGAUUUCUUCCCUUCGGCUGGGUUUCCAGAGCGGGAUUUUCCUGCUGGUGCCACCGAGAUGUAGAGACCAGCCCAGUUCCUUGCUCUCUGGGCACAAACCCACUGCAGAGCCCUAUGGAACAUCCUUUCCACAGGGAAGCACGCUGUCGUGGGACAAUGCUGAGAUGUCCCCGUGGGCUCCCAGCAUCUCCUGCAAGGCCGAGGGGUGAAGCAGCCCAGCUCGGGCCACGACACCCCUCCUCCCCACGGCUCUUUCUGAGCAGUGUGCAGGCAAAUAGGACACUGAAGAGGUGGGGACCAUCACGGCUGUGCUGCUGCUCCCCUUUUGUGUCCCACAUGGCCUCUGGGUUGGGUCUCCCCCAUCCCCUUCAUGCCUCUGGUUCCCUGUAGCUCAGUAAAGCAGCUUCUCUGUGUGAUGGUUCGUUGGAUCUCCCCGCUCAGCCCGUCUGUAACAGCACAGGCAGCUCUGCAUCCUCUCCCCAGGGUGCUGCACAGGUAGAAACAAAACAGGACGUGCACUUCCCCUGAGGAGUUUUAUUUAUUGUUUUGAGAAGCAAUUUAAAAGGAAAAAAAAAAUAAACUGUGUAUCUAUAAUAUAUAUAUAUAUAUUUUUAACCUCUUUUCUUUUCCUGAUGCUCCUCCACCCGUGUGUGUGUGCGUGUGUGUGUGCGCGAGUCAAGGGAUUCUGAGUGGGGACCACGGUGUCCUCUUCCCCGUGUCCAGCUCUCCAGGGGAUCAGGGUGUCCCCUUCCCCAUGUCCAGCUCUCCAGGGGAUCAGGGUGUCCCCUUCCCUGUGUCCAGCUCUCCAGGGGAUCAGGGUGUCCCCUUCCCCAUGUCCAGCUCUCCAGGGGAUCAGGGUGUCCCCUUCCCCGUGUCCAGCUCUCCAGGGGAUCAGGGUGUCCCCUUCCCCGUGUCCAGCUCUCCGGGGGACCACGGUGUCCCCUUCCCCGUGUCCAGCUCUCCAGGGGCGAUGCAGCAGAAGCCCAGAAGCAGCAGUGGGAGGGGAGGGAGGAUUUAUGCUGAGAGCUUGUAACGUUUUAACCGUGGUUUUUGAAUAAUUCCAUCUUUCUCUGGAGUAUUUGCACCCUUGGGGUCUGGCCUGACCGAGAACCUCCCCCACCCUGGGGAUGCCGUCGCCCCCCAUCCCCAUCCCCUCCUGUCCCUGCUCCCUUGACAAUCAAUGGCUCCUUCCCAGGGACUGCAGCACGUGGUUGAGACGUCUGUUUCGUUUUUUCAAUAUUCCUUUUUUGUGCUGUAUGGUGAUGCGUUAUUGUAUAUUCCACAAUAAGAAAAAAAAUAUAUAAAAAAAUGAUGAUAAUAAUAAUAAUUACCAUGAGAAAUUCUUAUGAGUUUUGUUUGGAAACUCUUUCACUAUAUUUGUUGUAAAGAGGUUUACUAUUAAAAAGAAAAAAAAUACACGUUUCUGAUAAUUU